AAGGAAUAUUGGUCAAUGGGCGCAAGCCUGAACCAGCUAUGCUACGUGCAGGAGUUAUGUAAACUGCUUUUUUAUAAGAUAAAACUCUUUUUGCGAAAAGAUAUGAUAGUAUUAUAAGAAUAAGUACCGGCUAAUUACGUGCCAGCAGCUGCGGUAAUACGUAAGGUACAAGUGUUACUCGGAUUUAUUGGGUUUAAAGCGUGCGUAGAUGGAUUUUUAAGUUAGUAGUAAAAUAUUAGAGCUCAACUCUAUUAAGCUAUUAAUACUGAUUAUCUUGAGUUUCUUUUAGGUAGGCAUAAUUUACAGUGUAGUGGUGGAAUACUUAAAUAUUGUAAGGAAUAUCUUUAGCGUAGGCAGCUUACUCGGUAAAACUGACAUUGAUAGCACGAAAGGCGGGUAGCAAAC
rnacentral:rRNA from 1 species